AUUGAACGCUGGCGGCAGGCCUAACACAUGCAAGUCGAGCGAGGGGCGGACGGGAGAGAAAUCUCUGGAAAUUGCCCAGGCGAGGGGGAUAACAGGGGGAAACGACCGAUAACACCGCAUACGAUGGGGUUGCCCAGGUGGGAGUCGCUAGUUGGUGGGGUAAUGGCUCACCAAGGCGACGACCCCUAGCGGGUCUGAGAGGAUGAUCAGCCACACGGGAACUGAGACACGGUCCAGACUCCUACGGGAGGCAGCAGUGGGGAAUAUUGCACAAUGGGGGAAAGCCUGAUACAGCCAUGCCGCGUGUGUGAAGAAGGCCUUCGGGUUGUAAAGCACUUUCAGCGGGGAGGCGUUACUCGCAGAAGAAGCACCGGCUAACUCCGUGCCAGCAGCCGCGGUAAUAC
rnacentral:rRNA from 1 species